rnacentral:rRNA from 1 species
AGCGAACGCUGGCGGCAGGCUUAACACAUGCAAGUCGAGCGGGCAUCCUUGUGGUGUCAGCGGCAGACGGGUGAGUAACGCGUGUGAACGUGCCCUUCGUUUCGGAAUAACUCAGGGAAACUUGAGCUAAUACCGGUUACGCCCUUUUGGGGAAAGGUUUACUGCCGAAGGAUCGGCGCGCCUCUGAUUAGCUAGUUGGUGAGGUUAUGGCUCACCAAGGCGACGAUCAGUAGCUGGUCUGAGAGGAUGAUCAGCCACACUGGGACUGAGACACAGCCCAGACUCCUACGGGAGGCAGCAGUGGGGAAUAUUGGAAAAUGGGGGCAAUCCUGAACCAGCCAUGACGCGUGAGUGAUGACGGCCUUAGGGUUGUAAAGCUCUUUUCUCCGGGACGAUAAUGACGGUACCGGAGGAAUAAGCCCCGGCUAACUUCGUG